rnacentral:lncRNA from 1 species
AGGGGUGUUACAGUAAGUAGUAACAGGAGAUAUAUAUGUGUGUGUGUGUGUGUGUGUGUGUGUGUGUGUGUGUGUUUUAAAAAAACCUUAUGGUGUUAAUUAUUAUGAGCAGCUGCUGAUGUAGGUCAGCAAACAAGCUUGGACCACACCCAGUGGGGUAUAACUGUAUGAGUUUUUAGAAUACAGUUGGUGAUGGUGAUGCUGAAGCUGAAUGUGCAAUGAAUGACCAGCAAUGCUCUUUGCUAUGAAGAACUAUGAAAUUUGACUCUGAGAUUUUGCUGAGGAGAAGAAUGUUAAAGAAUCAAAAUAAAGAAAACCUGCCUCCACCAAGAUAUGCUGUCUUAACUUGGCUUUGCUUAUUUUUUUUGUUUAAAGUGAUAGUAAAAGUUUAUGACCAAAGUAACAGCUAAUUUGUAGCGCAUGUCAGCUACAGUGCAUAUGUUGCUAUGAAUGUUUUAAAAAAGAUUGUUACUCCUUACCCAGAGAAUUAUUUAAAACAUUGUUGACAGUCUGACUGCUGACAUUUAUAGUGGCUCUUAUAUUGAAAUGUUCUGCUGUAAUGAUAUCUUCAUGUUAUUAUUGUAUAUUUAACUGGCUACUGUAUGCAGUGACUAGAGAAAAAUGUCACCAAAUUAUGUAAACAUUGGAAUUUACAAAGCUAUUCCAGAAUAAGAAAGAGAUGACUAGUUAUAGUAAUCCUAGUAUAUGUUUGCCACACACUGUUUGAUAUACUGAUGUUGAAGAGAGAAGGAAGAGAGGGGAAAAGAAGCUGUUUUCCUGUUGUUUGUGUUUGUUUGUGUUUUAUAUAAAGGUUUUGAUGGAAGUAACAAAAGAUGGCACAUGUUUUAUAUUAAUAAUAAGAAUGAAUGGGAUACUGUAAUUUUGUGAAAACUGUUUUAUGAAAAUAGUACUAGCUGGUUGUGUAUUAGUUGCUGGGUAAAUCCAACACAAAUCACACAUUGCUUGUUACUGACUCAUUUACCACACACAUACUGAAACAGACCAUUCACCUCAAUAGAAAAAGAGAUAAACGUACUAUGUAAUGCCAGCAGAGGGCAUUAUAGUAUAAUUCACAUGGCAACAAACAACCCAUUUCAAAACAAAAGAAUCGAAGAGUCCUCUCUGAGAUAUUUUAAAUUCUGCUUUCUCUCAGAUAAGAUUUCUUAAUGAGAAACAGCAAUUUAUAUCCUUGUUGUAUAUGUAGUAUUUUUAAACCUCAAUGUGUCUGCAGGAAACAUGGAACUGCAAAUUCAAAAGAUAAUGAAAUGAUGUAAAGGUAAAAGAAUAAAACUGCAGCUAAACCAGGGUCUGUAUAUAGUUCGUUAUGUCUAAUCUUGAACAACAAAGGAUUGAUUGAGGAUGCGUAUGUUUGCAAAUUAUGUUCUUUAUAGAAUAGUUGUGUACAUUGGAUUUAAACUCAAAUAAGACCCUAGAGCAGUGGUUCUCAACCUGGGGUCCACAGAUGUUUUUGGCCUUCAAAUUCCAGAAAUCCUAACAGUUAGUAAACUGGCUGGGAUUUCUGGGAGUUGUAGAUCCAGGCCUGUAGCAA